AGAGUUUGAUCCUGGCUCAGGAUGAACGCUAGCGGCAGGCUUAACACAUGCAAGUCGAGGGGCAGCACGGGUAGCAAUACUUGGUGGCGACCGGCGCAAGGGUGCGUAACGCGUGAGCAACAUGCCCGUAUCAGGGGGAUAAUCCAGGGAAACUUGGUCUAAUACCCCAUAGCAAUUAAAGGAGGCAUCUUUUUUAAUUUAAAGCUUUGGUGGAUACGGAUUGGCUCGCGUGACAUUAGCUAGAUGGUAAGGUAACGGCUUACCAUGGCUACGAUGUCUAGGGGUUCUGAGAGGAAGAUCCCCCACACUGGUACUGAGACACGGACCAGACUCCUACGGGAGGCAGCAGUAAGGAAUAUUGGGCAAUGGACGCAAGUCUGACCCAGCCAUGCCGCGUGAAGGAUGAAGGCCCUAUGGGUUGUAAACUUCUUUUAUACGGGAAAAAACCUUCGGUCGUGAACCGGAGCUGAUGGUACCGUAAGAAUAAGCAUCGGCUAACUCCGUGCCAGCAGCCGCGGUAAUACGGAGGAUGCAAGCGUUAUCCGGAUUCAUUGGGUUUAAAGGGUGCGCAGGCGGAGUGAUAAGUCAGUGGUGAAAUCCUACGGCUCAACUGUAGAACUGCCAUUGAUACUGUCAUUCUUGAGUACUGUUGAGGUGGGCGGAAUGUGUCAUGUAGCGGUGAAAUGCUUAGAUAUGACACAGAACACCGAUCGCGAAGGCAGCUCACCAAGCAGAAACUGACGCUCAUGCACGAAAGCGUGGGGAUCAAACAGGAUUAGAUACCCUGGUAGUCC
rnacentral:rRNA from 1 species